UAAAAUAUAACUUUAAAAAAAAUUGUAUAUAUAAAUAUAUAUAUAAAAAAAUAUAUAAAUAAAAUAAAUGCGACUCGAUAACACGUUUCAGCGCCGUCUCGAUAGUGUUAAAAAGUUUAAAACAGUGUCAAGAGUGUAGCAAUUUUUUAUUAAAUAAAUAAAAUUGCGAGUUUUGUGUGAUAAUUGUGUGAAAAUAAAAAUAGUUUGAACAAGAACAAAUAGUGGAAGUGGCAGUGUGGCACGGUAAGUAUUAUAUUAUUGGAAUUAACACACAUAUAUAUAUCAUCCAUUUCUUCGAUAUGAGCUUUCUUAACCUGAGAGAGUGAUCAACUUAAACGGUUAAUAUCUCGUUUCGCGCGGCAGAGCGACAAUUUUUUGUGCUAAAUUUUUUUAAUUUCACGCAAAAACGCGUCGAAUGAGCAUAAUUUAAUAAAAAUUUGAGGUGAAGGGCCUAAACUAAAUAAAUAUCUUGAAAUUAAUGUUUAAUAAUUCUAAAUUAUUAAAAUGACAUUUUAAACAUGAUUCUGAAUGUGAUUCUAAGCCAAAAAUUUAGACUUGUGGACUUUGUAUCUAAUUUGUUCAAUUUUUUUUUUUAUCACUAAUAAUGAGUGUGGCUGCCAGCUUCAGCGUCAUAUAAGGAUAUAUUUAUAUAUAUUUAUAGAUGUCUGACAAUGAGAGUAACGAUGAUGAAAUGAUUUAUCGAUUCAAAAUUGUAAGGUUUAUUAAACGUGGGAAAAAAGGUCCUACGAAAGAAAUUGAUAUUGUUCCUUCAGCCUGGAUUAACUGGGAUAAAAAAAAAAAAAAAUUGAAAGUUUCAUUUCUUGGUCCUCCAUAUACAAAAAAAAAAUAUUAAUCAACUCCACGAUAUGGUAAAACAAGAAUAUAGAAGAAAUAAAACAUUUGCUUAAUGAAGUUCCUGCGAUUACAAAAAACUCUUGCAACCAGUCAGUAAAUUUUUUUUAAAUUACCAUUUUUUAGACCAAUCACCUACUACGGAGACCUACUGUAUGGAAUCACCUACUACACCUACUAUGCUGCUUGAUACGCAAUUACCUGUCAUAUCUGAAAACGAUUUAAUGGACUAUACAAACGACAAAGAACUGAACCCGCUUAACA